rnacentral:rRNA from 1 species
CAGUCGCCGCGGGAAUACGAAGGGGGCUAGCGUUGAUCGGAAUGACUGGGCGUAAAGGGCGCGUAGGCGGCGAUCAAAGUCAGGCGUGAAAUUCCUGGGCUCAACCUGGGGGCUGCGCUUGAUACUUGGUUGCUUGAGUGGGGAAGAGGGUCGUGGAAUUCCCAGUGUAGAGGUGAAAUUCGUAGAUAUUGGGAAGAACACCGGUGGCGAAGGCGGCGACCUGGUCCUUGACUGACGCUGAGGCGCGAAAGCGUGGGGAGCAAACAGGAUUAGAUACCCGUGUAGUCCCUGUCUCUUAUAC